GGCGGCUUUUUAAGUCUGGAUGUGAAAUCCCUGAGCUUAACUUAGGAAUUGCAUUCGAUACUGGAAAGCUAGAGUAUGGGAGAGGAUGGUAGAAUUCCAGGUGUAGCGGUGAAAUGCGUAGAGAUCUGGAGGAAUACCGAUGGCGAAGGCAGCCAUCUGGCCUAAUACUGACGCUGAGGUACGAAAGCAUGGGGAGCAAACAGGAUUAGAUACCCUGGUAGUCCAUGCCGUAAACGAUGUCUACUAGCCGUUGGGGCCUUUGAGGCUUUAGUGGCGCAGCUAACGCGAUAAGUAGACCGCCUGGGGAGUACGGUCGCAAGACUAAAACUCAAAUGAAUUGACGGGGGCCCGCACAAGCGGUGGAGCAUGUGGUUUAAUUCGAUGCAACGCGAAGAACCUUACCUGGCCUUGACAUACUAAGAACUUUCCAGAGAUGGAUUGGUGCCUUCGGGAACUUAGAUACAGGUGCUGCAUGGCUGUCGUCAGCUCGUGUCGUGAGAUGUUGGGUUAAGUCCCGCAACGAGCGCAACCCUUUUCCUUAUUUGCCAGCGGGUUAAGCCGGGAACUUUAAGGAUACUGCCAGUGACAAACUGGAGGAAGGCGGGGACGACGUCAAGUCAUCAUGGCCCUUACGGCCAGGGCUACACACGUGCUACAAUGGUCGGUACAAAGGGUUGCUACCUCUGCGAGAGGAUGCUAAUCUCAAAAAGCCGAUCGUAGUCCGGAUCGCAGUCUGCAACUCGACUGCGUGAAGUCGGAA
rnacentral:rRNA from 1 species